UACGUAGGGGGCGAGCGUUGUCCGGAUUUAUUGGGCGUAAAGAGCGUGUAGGCGGCCAGGUAGGUCUGCUGUGAAAACUCGAGGCUCAACCUCGAGACGUCGGCGGAAACCAUCUGGCUAGAGUCCGGAAGAGGAGAGUGGAAUUCCUGGUGUAGCGGUGAAAUGCGCAGAUAUCAGGAGGAACACCGAUGGCGAAGGCAGGUCUCUGGGCCGAUACUGACGCUGAGGAGCGAAAGCGUGGGGAGCGAACAGGA
rnacentral:rRNA from 1 species